CGGCAACAGCUCAAAUUUGAAAUCGGACGCCCGUCCGAGUUGUAAUUUGGAGAGGAUGCCUCGAGGCAGCGGCCGGUCCAAGUCCCUUGGAACGGGGCGUCGCAGAGGGUGAGAGCCCCGUACGCGACCGGCUGGCACCUCAGACGUGGCUCC
rnacentral:rRNA from 1 species